AUUGAACGCUGGCGGCAGGCCUAACACAUGCAAGUCGAACGGAGUGGCGGACGGGUGAGUAAUGUCUGGGAAACUGCCCGAUGGAGGGGGAUAACUACUGGAAACGGUAGCUAAUACCGCAUACUAUCAUAUGAGCCUAGGUCGCAUUAGCUAGUUGGUGGGGUAAAGGCCUACCAAGGCGACGAUCCGUAACUGGUCUGAGAGGAUGAUCAGGCACAAUGUGAAUGAGACAAGGUCCAGACUCCAACGGGAGGCAGAAGUGGGGAAUAUUGGACAAUGGGCGAAAGCCUGAUGCAGCCAUGCCGCGUGUGUGAAGAAGGUCUUCGGAUUGUAAAGCACUUUAAGUUGGGAGGCGUUACCAACAGAAUAAGCACCGGCUAACUUCGUGCCAGCAGCCGCGGUAAUUC
rnacentral:rRNA from 1 species